GUCAUUUGCAAUUCCAUAAAGUCCCAAAAACGUGGUGCAUCCUGAUUUCUAUUCAAUUCCAGCCUUACCCUUGGCCUGAUUUAAUACCGUUCUGUUGAUAUAUGCUGUAUGUCUGCUUUCAGCGGCUCCUAGCUGUGAAGGGAUUUACCUCUCAGGAAUACUAAAGACCGACUUUACAGAACCUCUUUCUCUUUCUCUAUAGGGUACCGAGACGCGGAGUGGUUACGUCUGCUCCACUUGGUCAUGCAGGUCCCACCUGAUGCUCUUUGGUCGGUUACAAAACAUGGAGGUGUGGCUUUCAAAGCCUCGAAGAGGCUCACCAACAAACAUCCAAUCUCCCCAGACACAAACACAUCCCGGGAUGAAAUCACAUGAAUUGGAGCUGGUUAAGGACACAUCUUUCAACCGGAGAGCGGCUGUGUGUUUGAAA